UACGGAGGGUGCAACCGUUGCUCGGAAUUAUUGGGCGUAAAGCGCACGUAGGCGGUCUUGUAAGUCGGGUGUGAAAGCCCCAGGCUCAACCUGGGAAGUGCACUCGAAACUGCAAGGCUUGAGUAUGGAAGAGGGUCUCGGAAUUCCCGGUGUAGAGGUGAAAUUCGUAGAUAUCGGGAGGAACACCAGUGGCGAAGGCGGAGACCUGGGCCAAUACUGACGCUGAGGUGCGAAAGCGUGGGGAGCAAACAGG
rnacentral:rRNA from 1 species